CUCUUCUCGUGAGCACCGCCCUGUCCAGCAGUGACAGUGCACGGAUUCGCAUGAGAAGUAGAGCAAGGUCACAGUUAAACAGGCACCUACCUUCGUGGGAGUUGCCCAUGUCUGAUGUGAAACAAUC